AAAAAGACAUUAGAGAGUUGUGAGAAAGAAAAAGAAAAAGGAAACAAAAAGAAAAAUCAAGGAGAGGGUGUUUGAAGGAGAAAAAAGAAGGGUUGGCUAUUUUAUCAACUAGAGGAAGGGAUGCACCUUACUUAAAGGCUAGUCAACAUGAUUUCGGAGGAGUUGUUACAAGUAUGGUUGUCGUAAGUUUCUAGUUCAUUUUGAUUACCAUGCAUUCCUU
rnacentral:lncRNA from 1 species